GGCAUGGUGGCUUAAUGGUUAGCACAUUUGCCUUGUGGGUCGGGGGUUCAAAUCCCGCCUCUGCCC